GACGAACGCUGGCGGCGUGCUUAACACAUGCAAGUCGAACGAAGAGCGAUGGAAGCUUGCUUCUAUCAAUCUUAGUGGCGAACGGGUGAGUAACGCGUAAUCAACCUGCCCUUCAGAGGGGGACAACAGUUGGAAACGACUGCUAAUACCGCAUACGAUCUAAUCUCGGCAUCGAGGAUAGAUGAAAGGUGGCCUCUACAUGUAAGCUAUCACUGAAGGAGGGGAUUGCGUCUGAUUAGCUAGUUGGAGGGGUAACGGCCCACCAAGGCGAUGAUCAGUAGCCGGUCUGAGAGGAUGAACGGCCACAGUGGGACUGAGACACGGCCCAGACUCCUACGAGAGGCAGCAGUGGGGAAUCUUCCGCAAUGGACGAAAGUCUGACGGAGCAACGCCGCGUGAGCGAUGACGGCCUUCGGGUUGUAAAGCUCUGUUAAUCGGGACGAAAGGCCUUCUUGCGAAUAGUGAGAAGGAUUGACGGUACCGGAAUAGAAAGCCACGGCUAACUACGUG
rnacentral:rRNA from 1 species